rnacentral:siRNA from 1 species
UGGAAGCGUUUCAAGGGUUA